GGCGGGACGGGCCGGGGCCGAUGAGAGGGCAGCGGCAGAUGGGGCGAGGCUCCAUGGAUCAGCGAAGGUCACAGGAUUUUGAGCUUCUCCUUCACUGAAAUACCUUGUCACAAAGACAGGAUGGCCACCCUCUUUUUUCACUCUGCCUCCAGGCCCUCCUUGUGGCCUGUAACUGUGGUCUCUGGAGCAAUGUCUGAGCUGGAUGUGGAGAUUUACAUGGAAGUGGGAUCUCACUUUGAGGCUAUGAUUCACCUUCCUUUUCUUCUGAGAUGUGGAAGAACCUUUGUGCUCAUUCUGCCCAACUUUCAUGCUGCCCACUUCACUGAUGAAGCUAAGGGAGGAAGGAACCUGCCAUGAGAAGUUUCUUCAUGUUUAUUUUCUCUUUGUUUGUAGCUGGCCUUGAAUGAUAGGAGGUGAAUAGCUUCUCCUGGAUCAGAGAGGUCACUGCAGAACACCGUGAAUGUUCUCCAUUGGCAAAAGGGAAGAGAUUUUCUCUAAAGCUGCCUACAUUACUCCUACUUUGUAGAAAAAGAGGGUUUUACUCUAUGAUGCUGCAUUACCACCCCUUCAAUAAAAUUUGAAAAUCUGCAAACUUCCUAAUCCUUGCACAAGCACUUAGCCAUGAGGUUUUUACUGCUACUAAUAGGAGUCUUUCAGCUAAAUCUCUACAUGUCUCUGUAAUUACCUACACAAGAAGUAAUGUUCUGUAAUACCAUUCAAUCUCUAUUUUCAUGUCAUGCCACAGUCUAAUAUUCCUCAGCCCAUAGCAAAUAUGCCUUCAGAAAAUAGCCUGAGAUAGGACAAAAUAAGAUCCACGUUCAAGUGAGAAGCACUCAGUGAAACAGACUCCUGUCUAGUGACUUGAUACGCCAGACCAUAAGGAUAUAAAAAGUGCAGGGAUGGUUUGUGCCAGAUACAGUCUCUUGUUGGAAGAUUUGGUUCUAAAAACCCAUGAGAAAAAGAACUUGUUCUAUUCACUGAAUGGAGAAAAGCCAAGAUAUUUGAAAUAAAAUAGAAACUAUUUGAACUAUAUAUACCCUUCACUUUAUUUCCAAUCAAACUUAUCACUGGAUGUCUAUAGAACAAACCCAAAACACACAGAAAAGUGAAGUGUACAGCCCAAAUUGGAGAAGCAGCUUAUAGGAAAGACACUGAUUUGCAAUCUUCCUUCGGUCUCACAGAGCUCUCUACAUUGUAGGGGAUAUUACAGUGAGCUUCAAAAGCCAACCUAGAGAGCAGGUUUUUAGUUCCAGGGUCCCCAUAACUUUCCUUGUUUCAUAUGGGAUACAAGAAGCAAGAUGACAUUUGUUCUAAAAUGAUUGACUGAGGAUUUCACUGGAGGUCUUUUGCAAUUGACCUUCUGAGAGAAAAGCAGAGAGAUUUGAA